UCAUAAUCCCUAUCAGCAAACAUCAUUUGGUGAAGCCUUCUCUCAGUAUGGGUGACCCCAUGAGACACCACAGUCUUAGCUCCCCUAGAUUUGUUACUACCCUUGAGUACAUUACAGAGAAGUUCUUUAAUCCUGGAUAGCCUCUCUGGGUCAGUAAUUGCAGACCCAGUUUCCUCCUCAGUUACUUGCAUCACAGCUGCAGCCCGUGUAUUGUGCGUCCAGACCUCUGCAUUAAGCACAUUGCAUUUUAGGUGGGUGAGCACAGCACUCACUUCAGACAGCAGCCCUGGCCUGUCACUUCCAGUUAGCUCAAUUGCAGUAUGGUCCAUAGAUGGUUUAACCCCAACAGAUCUCACAGAAGAUAUAAAGCACGACUCUGGCCCCAAAGACUUUCGAAUAUAAUCUAGGAUUGCUUCAUCAGUAAUCUUGUUUCCAUCUUGAUCCCUAACAUUAAAAACAUCCAUGAACCAACCACCAUCAGAAGAUAUGUAAGCUUUAGUUAUGUUAAGGUUAAGAUCAGUAAGGACUUGUACAACUUCAAGAAGUAUUCCAUGUUUGUUUGCACUGUCCACCCUUACAACUGUUGCAUUCUUGCAGGAUUCAUUAUCAAUCACAACCCUGGGAGGAUUCAAUCUUCUAAAGAGUUUCUCAUAUUCAUCAUCCAUGUCGUGUGAAAAGCUCAAGUUGACCUCCAUUACAGUUCUUGAUGAUUUGGGAUCUCCUAACCCAAGCUCUCUUGAUUAACUCAAUACAGAGUAUGUAUAUAAUAUGUACACAUACAAGAACUGAACUACCUAUAUAUAUAACAUACACAAGAAAAGGAGUAUCCCCAGAGAUCUCUUAGCAUUCUCUAUCUCACACAAAAGGAAACAAGAAUAUUUUUAUAUAAUUAUAUUCAAU
rnacentral:misc_RNA from 1 species